rnacentral:lncRNA from 1 species
GGCAGUUGAUUUCCAGGCUCUUUUCAGAAGCCCCAGGACGAGGAAGAUUGAUAUUUGGAGAAAUGAUGGACUUCCAAAAUAACUUUGUAUUCUCUGACCUGCUUCACUAAUGCUCGUUGCUGUAAAACCAGGCUGGGUGGAAAGUGCAAUUUGCAGAGAUGGAAAGGUGGAGGCACAUCCUGAAGCUUCAUGACACCAAUCACACCUCGCAGCCAAGCCCUCCUGCUGCUGGAGCCACCUCCUCCUCUACCAACCUACUAAGCCUGCUGCAUUAGACCGCAGAAGACUUCCUGGCCCAUAUUCCAACUCCUGCCACCUCCAGUUCACCUGCCAAGAGCUCCUGAUCCCAAUCGUGGUGACAAUCUUCAACCCACUGCACUUACCUGACUCACAGCUUGGUCAAGGCAACCAAACUCGGGUGCAGAAGGGUUCUUAA